AACGAACGCUGGCGGCAUGCCUAACACAUGCAAGUCGAACGAGACCUUCGGGUCUAGUGGCGCACGGGUGCGUAACGCGUGGGAACCUGCCCUUAGGUUCGGAAUAACUCCCCGAAAGGGGUGCUAAUACCGGAUAAUGUCUUCGGACCAAAGAUUUAUCGCCUUUGGAUGGGCCCGCGUUGGAUUAGCUAGUUGGUAGGGUAAAAGCCUACCAAGGCGACGAUCCAUAGCUGGUCUGAGAGGAUGAUCAGCCACACUGGGACUGAGACACGGCCCAGACCUCCUCGGGGCGGCAGAAGGGGGAAUUAGUGGAGAAUGGGCAAACCCCUAAUCCAGCAUGCCCGGGUGGGUAAUGAGGGCUUAGGGGUUUAAAACUUUUUUUCCGGGGAAUAAAAAGAAGACCGCGGGGAAGAUGGCCCGGGCGAAGCCCGGUC
rnacentral:rRNA from 1 species